rnacentral:lncRNA from 1 species
CUUGCACUCUCUGCCCCUGGAGUUCCCUCUGGCGAUGGCCUUUGCUGAGCAGCUGCUGUCCUGGAAGUCGGAGGACAGCGAAGGGAAGUCAGAGGACGAGCCUGACAGCAUCCCUACCUCCGUCCUCCUGCACGUGGUGGAACUGCUAGGAAACUUCCUAUGGACUACAGACAUGGCGGCCUGUGUGAAGGAGUUGGUCUUCCACCUCUUGGCUGAGCUCUUGCGUACAGUACAUACCCUGGAGCAGCGGAAGCACCCAGCCGGCCUGUCCUCCUCUAUCGCCCUCCAGCUCAAUCCCUGCCUGGCCAUGCUGAUGGCCUUGCAGUCGGAACUGCACAAGCUGUACGACGAGGAGACCCAGGGCUGGGUCUCGAGCAGC